rnacentral:tmRNA from 1 species
GGGGGUGUACUGGUUUUCGACGGGGGAUGAAAGGUAUUGGACAGCAUGCCGAGGAUUUCGGUUGGCCUCGUUAAUCAUCCGAUAAACAAUAAUUGCAGAAGACUAUUCUUUCGCAAUGGCUGCCUAAUUAAAGGCGGCAACUCGAGUGCAGAGCGCGUCUGUAUGUACUUGAGCAGCUAAGGCGCUGGCUUGCGGGAAGGGGCGGCCCGCAGGUGAGAUAAGCUCCUGGUUUUCAAUUCAGCCUGUCUGACGGCGGUUUUGGAAACAAGAUUAAAAGUUGGGCUAAGCAUGUAGCGGUUCAUAUUAAUUGUCCUUCGGACAGGGGUUCAACUCCCCUCACCUCCAUUA